ensembl:misc_RNA 7SK 7SK RNA
GGAUGUGAGGGCGAACUGGCUGCUGCAUCUGUCACCCCAUUGAUCGCCAGGGUUGAUUCGGUUGAUCUGGUUGGCUAGGCAGGUGUCCCCUUCCUCCCUCACUUCUCAAUGUGCGUCCCUCCCAAAGCUGCAUGCUCUGUGGAAGAGGACAGCCUUCCCGGAAUAGAGACGGAUCGGUCUUCGGUCAAGGGUAUACGCGUAGCUGUGCUUCCCUGCUAGAAUCUCCAAACAAGCUCUCAAAGAAAUAAUAGAAAAAUUUCCAACUCUGGGAUGUGGUCAGGAUAUAGAUUUUCAGGAAGCAAAGAGAACUCCCAAAUUUUU